AUGCCGGGAGCUGCGCCGGGCCGGGAGCGCCAUGGCAGCGUCCUCGCGCCCAGCCGGGACGGAUGCGGGCGCGCUGCCCAGUCCUGCGGUGGGUCUGCCGCGCGGCUCUUGACCCUGGCUGCUGGGAGGCUGAAUAUCUCCUUCCCGGCCACCGGCUGCCAGAAACUCAUCGCAGUGGACGAUGAAUGCAAGCUCCGUAGCUUCUACGAGAAGCGUACGGUCACGGAAGUUUCUGCGGACUCCCUGGGUGACGAGUGGAAGGGUUGCGUGGUCCAAAUCAGUGGCGGGAACGAUAAACAAGGUUUCCCCAUGAAGCAGGGUGUCUUGACCCAUGGCCGUGUCCGCCUGCUGCUGAGUAAGGGGCAUUCCUCUUACAGACCAAGGAGAACUGGAGAAAGAAAGCGCAAAUCUGUCCGGGGUUGCAUUGUGGAUGCCAAUCUGAGCGUUUUCAACUUGGUUAUUGUAAUAAAAGGAGAGAAGGAUAUUCCUGGGCUGUCUGACCCCACGGUGCCUCGUCGACUGGGGCCCAAAAGGGCUAGCAGGAUCCGCAAACUCUUCAAUCUCUCUAAAGAAGAUGUCCGCCAGUCUGUUGUAAGAAAGCCCCUAAACAAAGAAGGUAAGAAACCUAGGACCAAAGCACCCAAGAUUCAGCGACUUGUCACUCCACGUGUCCUGCACCACAAACGCCGGUGUAUUGCUCUGAAACAACAGCGUACUAAGAAAAAUAAGGAAGAGGCCGCAGAAUAUGCUAAACUUUUGGCCGAGAGAAUGAAGGAGGACAAAGAAAAACGCCAGGAGCAGAUUGCCAAGAGGCGCAGACUGUCCUCUCUGCGAGCUUCUACUUCCAAGUCUGAGUCUAGUCAAAAAUGAGAUUUUCUUGAGUAACAAAUAAAUAAGAUCAGGAAAAAAAA